rnacentral:rRNA from 1 species
CAAAAGCGCAUGUGCUGUGAGCUCGAUGAGUAGGGCGGGACACGUGGUAUCCUGUCUGAAUAUGGGGGGACCAUCCUCCAAGGCUAAAUACUCCUGACUGACCGAUAGUGAACCAGUACCGUGAGGGAAAGGCGAAAAGAACCCCGGCGAGGGGAGUGAAAAAGAACCUGAAACCGUGUACGUACAAGCAGUGGGAGCCCCACCACUAAGCCAGUGGUGAACUCCACAUACGCAUCCUUUGCUGAGGAUACGGUUAACGGAGCGAAAGCGACGUUCAACCGCAAAAGAAGCAGAGGGGGCUUAGUGGUGGGGUGACUGCGUACCUUUUGUAUAAUGGGUCAGCGACUUAUAUUCUGUAGCAAGGUUAACCGUAUAGGGGAGCCGGAGGGAAACCGAGUCUUAAUUGGGCGUUAAGUUGCAGGGUAUAGACCCGAAACCCGGUGAUCUAGCCAUGGGCAGGUUGAAGGUUGGGUAACACUAACUGGAGGACCGAACCGACUAAUGUUGAAAAAUUAGCGGAUGACCUGUGGCUGGGGGUGAAAGGCCAAUCAAACCGGGAGAUAGCUGGUUCUCCCCGAAAGCUAUUUAGGUAGCGCCUCGUGAAUUCAUCUCCGGGGGUAGAGCACUGUUUCGGCUAGGGGGCCAUCCCGGCUUACCAACCCGAUGCAAACUGCGAAUACCGGAGAAUGUUAUCACGGGAGACACACGGCGGGUGCUAACGUCCGUCGUGAAGAGGGAAACAACCCAGACCGCCAGCUAAGGUCCCAAAGUCAUGGUUAAGUGGGAAACGAUGUGGGAAGGCCCAGACAGCCAGGAUGUUGGCUUAGAAGCAGCCAUCAUUUAAAGAAAGCGUAAUAGCUCACUGGUCGAGUCGGCCUGCGCGGAAGAUGUAACGGGGCUAAACCAUGCACCGAAGCUGCGGCAGCGAACGUAUCACUUAAAGCGAUUCAGCGGAUGACGAUUGACGGAGCGAAGCGACGUCAAAGCGUAUACAAAGUCGAGUCGGUUUAAGGAUACGUUCGUUGGGUAGGGGAGCGUUCUGUAAGCCUGCGAAGGUGGCCUGUGAGGGUUGCUGGAGGUAUCAGAAGUGCGAAUGCUGACAUAAGUAACGAUAAAGCGGGUGAAAAGCCCGCUCGCCGGAAGACCAAGGGUUCCUGUCCAACGUUAAUCGGGGCAGGGUGAGUCGACCCCUAAGGCGAGGCCGAAAGGCGUAGUCGAUGGGAAACGGGUUAAUAUUCCCGUACUUGGUGUUACUGCGAAGGGGGGACGGAGAAGGCUAUGUUGGCCGGGCGACGGUUGU